GCGAGAAAGGUCUUCGGACUGAGUACAGCGGCGGACGGGUGAGUAACGCGUAGGAAUCUACCCAUUGGUGGGGGACAACCUGGGGAAACCCAGGCUAAUACCGCGUAAGCCCUACGGGGGAAAGCGGGGGAUCUUCGGACCUCGCGCCAUUGGAUGAGCCUGCGUCGGAUUAGCUAGUUGGUGGGGUAAAAGCUCACCAAGGCGACGAUCCGUAGCUGGUCUGAGAGGACGAUCAGCCACACUGGGACUGAGACACGGCCCAGACUCCUACGGGAGGCAGCAGCGGAGAAUAUUGCGCAAUGGGCGAAAGCCUGACGCAGCCAUGCCGCGUGUGUGAAGAAGGCUCUAGGGUUGUAAAGCACUUUCAAUAGCGAGAAAAAGCUGCCGGUUAAUAACCGGUAGUGUUGAUGUUAACUAUAGAAGAAGGACCGGCUAACUCCGUGCCAGCAGCCGCGGUAAUACGGAGGGUCCGAGCGUUAAUCGGAAUUACUGGGCGUAAAGCGCGCGUAGGCGGUUUGCUCAGUCGGAUGUGAAAGCCCCGGGCUUAACCUGGGAACUGCAUUCGAUACUGGCAGACUUGAAUACGGGAGAGGGAGGUAGAAUUCCAUGUGUAGCGGUGAAAUGCGUAGAUAU
rnacentral:rRNA from 1 species